rnacentral:rRNA from 1 species
GCCUAACACAUGCAAGUCGAGCGGUAACAGGGGUAGCUUGCUACCCGCUGACGAGCGGCGGACGGGUGAGUAAUGCAUAGGAAUCUGCCCGAUAGUGGGGGAUAACCUGGGGAAACCCAGGCUAAUACCGCAUACGUCCUACGGGAGAAAGGGGGCUUCGGCUCCCGCUAUUGGAUGAGCCUAUGUCGGAUUAGCUAGUUGGUGAGGUAAAGGCUCACCAAGGCAACGAUCCGUAGCUGGUCUGAGAGGAUGAUCAGCCACAUCGGGACUGAGACACGGCCCGAACUCCUACGGGAGGCAGCAGUGGGGAAUAUUGGACAAUGGGGGCAACCCUGAUCCAGCCAUGCCGCGUGUGUGAAGAAGGCCCUCGGGUUGUAAAGCACUUUCAGCGAGGAAGAACGCCUAGCGGUUAAUACCCGUUAGGAAAGACAUCACUCGCAGAAGAAGCACCGGCUAACUCCGUGCCAGCAGCCGCGGUAAUACGGAGGGUGCAAGCGUUAAUCGGAAUUACUGGGCGUAAAGCGCGCGUAGGUGGCCUGAUAAGCCGGUUGUGAAAGCCCCGGGCUCAACCUGGGAACGGCAUCCGGAACUGUCAGGCUAGAGUGCAGGAGAGGAAGGUAGAAUUCCCGGUGUAGCGGUGAAAUGCGUAGAGAUCGGGAGGAAUACC